rnacentral:lncRNA from 1 species
GCUUGAACCCGGGAGGCGAGGGUUGCAGUGAGCCGAGAUCGCGCCACUGCAAGACUCCGUCUCAGAAAAACAAAGUCGCACAGGAGAGUCACGUCCACCCCCUGGGCCACCGGACAGUCGCCACAGACCAGGCAGCUGAAUCCCCGCUCUACAGACAACCCCAUCAAGGCUGGGGCAGUGAGACGCUCUGAAGGCCACAGGCCCCCAGGAUCCCACCCCGUCCGUCUCUCCCUCCCUGCUGUCCCUCUGUGAGCCACACCCUGCGGCUGUCAGCGGCAGUGAUGGGGGCUGCAGGGGCUGGGGACAGAGGGGGAUGAGUUUCCAGCCAGGCGGCCUGGGAGGGUAGCUUUAAUCCCCACCUCGGUUUUGUCUUAGAAGCAGUUGCAUGGCUGUGCUCCAGGCCGUCCAGGGUUCAGGCUGAGCCACCGUCUAGGUCUAGACGUCAGUGUCCAUCAGGACCUGGCGUGCCCUGCAAGCAGACAUGUGCUCCUUCGACCUCCGUCAACCCUGGAGAUGAAGCAGGGAAGGGGCCCUGGCUGGAGGCUUGGACAUCCAUCCGGAGGGGCGGAGUGGCCUCGAGGCGGUGUGUGAGUCCCCGGGGAAGAUGCAGGGGACGCUGGGUGGCCGGUGGCACGAGUGAGGCUCGGGGUCCCGCAGCCCCCCGUGGUGUGGGUGCCUGAGUUGGGGGGUCCUCGAGGAGGACAAGGGAGGGAACUGAAGGGGGCCAGGACACCCGGUAGCUUGGCUGCCGGGGGCUCUGUGAUAUGCUAAGUCCCUCCUGCUCACCACUAAACCCAAGAGGAAAAGGAAUUCCUGGCAGAGUCCAAUUUAAAGUCAACAAACAAACAAUGUGGGAAGGAGAGAAGGAAUCCCAGGAAUGUGGGCGAGGUCCUCCUCCCGCCGGGGCCACCCUGGACCCGGCGAGAAAUCGAAGGUCCCCCAAGGACCCACGUCCAGGAGCCAACAGCCUCUCUGUGCAAACCAGACAACCCUGCAGGAACUGUGCUUGAAGAAACCGUGGAAACUGCCCCCAACCCUCCCGUCUCUAUUUCUUUCUCUGUUUUAUUAUCUCAUUCUUGGCUGUGAGGUAAACAGGAGAAAAUGAGAAGGUGGUUCUGGAGGACCCGACCGAAUUUGCUUUCGUGACAGGGUCAAGCGCCCUUUCCUCGCCGGCCGCAGCCCUCACCAAAGGGGAUUUGGGGGCCUCCGGACAGGGGUCCUGAAGGUUUUGAAUUGUUCAAUCUCUGGGGGUACAGGAACCCCUGCAGGAGGUUUCAAAGGCAAGAGUUUCGCAGAGAGAAAAAAACCAUGAACUUUGCAGGUUGGUGGCGGAAUCUGGUGAUUUAAGAAAACGUGUUUAAGCCUCGGCCGGGCCGCGCCUGGGCUGUCUGCGGUGCUCUUCCGGAAUUCUCUACAAUAUCUGGAAGUGACCAAGAAAAUUCCAGAACCCGGAGGCUGCGCCGUGGAGAUAAACAUGGGCACCUGGGAAGGAACUGCUGGACCAGCAGAAUGAGGGGCCAACGCCAGGGGCAGCACUGCCCGGCCACAGAGGACUGUGGCCCCACAGAUGACACCCUCAGCUACCAGCUCCUGCAUCUGGAAGAUGACCAGGAGGAGGAAGGACGGUCUGCAAGUGUUCAAAGUGAUGUUUCCAGGCCGGGCGCGCUUGUAAUACCAGCAUUUGGGAGGCUGAGGCAGGCGGAUCACCUGAGGUCGGGAGUUCGAGACCAGCCUGACCAACGUGGAGAAACCCCGUCUCUACUAAAAAUACAAAAUUAGCCAGGCGUGGUGGCGCAGCUACUCGGGAGGCUGAGGCAGGAGAAUCGCUUGAACCCGGGAGGCGGAGGUUGCGGUGAGCUGAGAUUGUGCCAUUGCACUCCAGCCUGGGCAACAAGAGUGAAACUCCGUC